rnacentral:rRNA from 1 species
UGGGGAAUAGCCCGGGGAAACCCGGAUUAAUACCCCGUAAUAUAAUGAAGUGGCAUCACUUUAUUAUUAUAGCUCCGGCGCUUGAAGAUGGGUGUGCGACUGAUUAGGCAGUUGGCGGGGUAACGGCCCACCAAACCUGCGAUCAGUAACUGGUGUGAGAGCACGACCAGUCACACGGGCACUGAGACACGGGCCCGACUCCUACGGGAGGCAGCAGUAAGGAAUAUUGGUCAAUGGACGCAAGUCUGAACCAGCCAUGCCGCGUGGAGGAUGGAAGGUCCUCUGGAUUGUAAACUUCUUUUAUCUGGGNAGGAAAUGCAUUUUUUCUAAAGUGCUUGACGGUACCAGGUGAAUAAGCACCGGCUAACUCCGUGCCAGCAGCCGCGGUAAUACGGAGGGUGCAAGCGUUAUCCGGAUUCACUGGGUUUAAAGGGUGCGUA